rfam:Rattus norvegicus chromosome 9, whole genome shotgun sequence.
GGGGAUUUAGCUCAGUGGUAGAGCGCUGCCUAGCAAGCGCAAGGCCCUGGGUUCGAUCCCCAGCUCCA